GCGGAGAGAGAAAUCAGUUCUUUUCCUGGUCGCGCCAGUUAAGUCAGGGACCAACGUGGGUCACAUGCCCAUCUUUGAGCCAAUUGCUGUAAACCUGCGGAGCGGAUGGGCCUAGGUCACGUGGGGGGCUGCUGGCCCGGGGGACAGGGCAGCAGGGAUUAACCAGAAACUCCCGGGGCUGCUCCCCGAGCAGGGCAGGCGCCUGGGAGCACGAGGGACCGCCGCCCCCGACAACCCCACAUGCACUUGGACAGUUUUACUUCCUGAAUGUUUAUCCAACGCAUUUCAUACGUUUCCCAAAGAACUCUCUACAGUUAAGGACGUUAACUUUGUCGCAUGUAUUUCAGACAUUUUUUUCCAGUUUGCUGUUCACAGAGAUUGUUUUACACAGAGUAGCUGCGAGUCUGUGUGAAGUCAAAUCAACACACUUCUCCUUGAGGGCUUCCGGGUGAGGCUUGGACAUGCAUCCCCCGCAGGAGGCCUCGUCUUUGCCAUCAUUUCCUCUCAGCGCUCGUACAGACGCCGACUCCAGCGAGGUUCCUGUGUCCCCCGUUCUUCCCCGUGGACUGGAAGUGCCGUUAUCAUCAUACGCUGAAUUGUAUGAUGUUUGGCCUCCAAUUCUUUUCCUGUGAUCUUUUCUGUAC